GGGUAGAUGACUGAGUAUGGUUUAAGGUACUUCGCUUGAAACGAAGAGAAGUUUGGAAUAACUUCCAUGGGUUCAAAUCCCAUUCUGCCCG
rnacentral:tRNA from 1 species